rnacentral:tRNA from 1 species
GGAAGCGUGCCUGAAUUAUAAGGACUACUUUGAUAGAGUAGACCACAGAGGCCAAACCCUCUCACUUCC